rnacentral:rRNA from 1 species
CGGAGGGUGCGAGCGUUAUCCGGAUUUAUUGGGUUUAAAGGGUCCGUAGGCGGACUCGUAAGUCAGUGGUGAAAUCUCACAGCUUAACUGUGAAACUGCCGUUGAUACUGCCGGGUCUUGAGUAAGGUAGAAGUGGCUGGAAUAAGUAGUGUAGCGGUGAAAUGCAUAGAUAUUACUUAGAACACCAAUUGCGAAGGCAGGUCACUAUGUCUUAACUGACGCUGAUGGACGAAAGCGUGGGGGAGCGAACAGGAUU